CAGGGGCACUGAGGACCCCCCCGAGGCGCCCUCCACGCAAUUGGCACUGUGGUAUACUCCGCCGCCACCACCGUCACCGCCGUUUCCCUCCCUUCUUCAGGACGUGGGUGGAGGAGGUGGUGGGUUCCCGCGUGACAAAGACUAAGAAACAGGCGAAGAAGAAGAACAACCCGAGGCGAAAAUACAGUGAACGAAAGAACAGUGAACGUAGAAUAGUGAUAGUAAGGAUAAAAUUAAUGAACGAAAGAGUUGAGUAAAGAGAACAGUGAACGGCAAACAGUGACGGAAUAAGAACAACAUUGAUAAAAAAAAAGUAUUAGUCCGAGAACAGUGAACGUUAAGCAGUGAACGAAAGAGAGCGGACGUACUGAGUCUAAGAACAGUGAACGAUAAGCAGUGAACGAAAGAGAGUGAACGUAGUGAGUUUAAGAACAGUGAACGAUAAACAGUGACAGUGUAGGAAGAACACUGACCAAAAACAGUGAAAAAAACAUAAGACUAACGACGAACGAAAUAAAACAAAAGAAAAACUGAGAGAAACGGAGAAAUAGAGAGUGGAAGCAAUUUACAGACUUCGGAAAACAACAAAAAAUCGAAAACGCAGAGUAAGUAGUGAUAGAAGAAAACUAAUAAAAGUGGAAUAGAAAAGAGAAGAGAGAAAGAAACGUCUGAAAUAUUACCCCAUGAUUUGACGGCUCGGUAAAAAAAAAAAGAGGAAAAAUUGAAGAAAAUCGUGGAGAAAAGUUGAGAGGAGAAACGCGACGUAGAAUAACAGUAAAAAGGGGAAAUAAAAGGAAUAGUUGAAGAAAUAUUGAGUAAAACAGAAGAGAGGGAGAGAAACGGACGAAAUAUUACGCAUGAUUUAACAGUACAGCAAAAGAGAGAAAGAAAAAAAUCAAGGAAAUCGGAAAGAAAACACGAAAGGAGAAACGCAACGAAUAAAAUAACAGUAAAGAGAGGAGAUAAAAGACAUUGUUAAAGGAAGAGUAAAGGAAAAGAGAGAGAGAAACGGAAAAGAUAGAAGGAAAAAGUGAAGGAAAGCGGGGAGAAAAGUAAAAAGAGAAACUUGUGCGUUAAAUAACAAUAAAAAUAGGAGAUAAAAGGAAUAGCUGAAGGAACAGAGAACAAAACAGAGGAGAGAGAGAAACGGACGAAGUAUUACUGCAUGACUUGACAAUGCAGUAAAAGAGAGAGAGAGAGAGGAAAAGAAGUGAAGGAAACGAGAAAGAAAAGUUAAACAGAGAAACGGCGCUUAAAACAACAGUAAAAAGAGGAGAUAAAAAGAACAGACAAAGGUAGAGAGAGUAAAAUAGAAGAGAAAAACGAAAAAGAGAAAAAGUAAAGAAAAAAAGAAAAGCCAAACAGAGAAACAGCGCUUAAAACAACAAUAAAAAGAGGAAAUAAAAAGAACAGACAAAGGAACAGAGAGUAAAACGGAAAAGAGAGAAAAGCGAAAAAGAGAAAAAGUGAAGGAAAUCGGAAAGGAAAGUUAGGAGCGAGAACGUGACGCAUAAGAUUACCGUAAAAACAGGAGAUAAAAAGAAUAGAUAAAGGUAGAGAGAGUAACAUAGAAGAGAGAGAAAAACGAAAAGGAAAAGAAAAGCCAAACAGCGAAAAAGAGAAAAAGUGAAGGAAAGCGAAAAGGAUAGUUAAGAGCAAGAACGUGACGCAUAAGAUUACCGUAAAAGGGAAAAUAAAGGAACAUCUGAGUCUGGGCUAAGGAAACAGAGCCGCGUGGAGACUUCUGAGCGACUGCAAAUUUAAGAAGCCGAACCCAGUCAAGCGAGAGAGAGAGAGAAGGAGAAAGGAAAGAGAACGACAGAAUAAGAGAGAGAAGAGAAUGAAAAUGUAAAUGCAAAGGAGAGAAGGAUAAAAUUUUGAAUAGAAUUAAAGAAAAAGUAGAAAAAGAAGAAUAGAAAACAGAAAGAAAGAAUGCGCUGACGAAAGAGACACUAGGAAAUAUAGAUAGAUAAAGAAGACUAGAAAGAGAAAAUGCAAUAAAAGUUAAUAAAAGUGAAUAGAGAGAAAAAGAAGAUUGGAAGAUUUAAUAGAAAACAUGAGAGGUAAAUAAAAACUAAAGAAUUAAUGAAAAGAGAGAAAUAUAGAGGGUAGAGAGAGUAAAAGAUAAUAAAGGAAGAUAAAUAUAAAAUAGAGGGAAAGAAUAAGAAAACAAUACAGAGGCAGCGAGUAGAAAAGAGAAGAGACGAAACUAAAAUAUAUAGAUGAAAUAAUAUAACAAGGAAGAAAAUCAGAAACGAGUCAGAAAGGAACUCAAAACCUGAAACUGCCUAUUCACGAAACGAAACAAGAAACAAAUCAAACUACGGAAAAAGGAAUAGACGUGAGAGUCGGUAAAGAAGGAAAAGAAGGGAUCAAAGAGCAGGAGAAGUGAUGAAAGAGGAAAAACGAAAAUAUUGAUAAAAACUUCUCGAACACAGAUAAAAUUGAAAAUCUCACCAACGAAACGCAGUAAAAAAAUAAAUAAUAAUGAGAUAAAUGAACGCGUAUCAGUAAGCAGACACUAAGAAGAAAAACAGUAAAAAUAACAAGAAAAGAAGGAAAAGAAGAAAAUUUUGUUAGUAGUACAAAUCAGAGAAGAAAGAAAAUUUGUGAACCUAACUAGCUAAAAGAAGAAGAAGAAGAAGAAGAAGGAGAAGAAGAUAUAAGACUGCUAAUAAAAUAAAUCGGAGAGGAAAGAAUUUUUAACAACCAAAUCCAGCUAGAAGAAGAAGAAGAAGAAGAAGAAAUAAAAAAAUAA